rnacentral:lncRNA from 10 species
GACUAGUAUUUAAGCUUAGCCAUGAGAAUGGAAUUUGGAAGAUGAAGAAUGUGACCUGGAGGAAAGAAGAAAAUGAUUACAGAGGGGCAUUUGAGAGUGAGAGGAUAGAGAAGAGAGAAAGAGGUUGAGGAAAGAAGAUAUCAGAGUCCCCUCACUGCCCUCCCCAUUAACACACUCAAGGCUAAGCUAGUGAGGGGAGAGUAUCUUUGGGAUACUGGACAAAAUAUGGAAUUCCAAGAACCAGGAAGCUUUUGUCUUAUUCUAAAAGGAUAUAACUUGCAGGCUGUCUCCAGAUCAAUUGAGUGGUAGAUCCAUAUUACAAAUAAACAUGAUAGCAGAGUGUGAUUAGGCAGAAGAAGGUGCAUCUCAGCACCUCCUUCUGUGUAAUGUGGAAAUGAGCAGCUAUUGUAGUGGGAAUGAGCAACUCCACAGUAAAGGCAUUAGGCUGUGCCAUCUGGGCAGUGGAUGACAGAGAUAUCAGUGUGUGGCUGGGGUCUGAAGCCUGUUCAGGGUCAAGAUGAGCCUAAGUCAUCCAGAAAGGCUGAUGAAAUCAGCAAAAGUCAGCCAGACAAAGGGCACUGUCAAGGCCAUCAUAUGGCUCUAAGCAUCCCUUUUCCCACCUCCUCAAGAGCACCAAGAAAGACACCAACAUCCAUUGCCAAUUUCCUUCUCCUUGCCAGUAGGGAGGCUGAAAAAAAACAGAUACUCUCUUUCUAUUAAUAUAUCUUCCUUAUAGAGUAGGAUGGAUAUUUGGCUAAGUAUUGAUCAAUAAGAUAAAGUGGAAUUUGCUGGGUGGUGGGCGGGGGUCCUUUGUGUAAUAAUUUUGUGUCUUGAUAAAGUAGGAAUAUGGCUGGGACCAUCCCUGACUCUCUUUUUUCCUUGAAUGUGAACACAUGAGUGAAGCAUACAUCCAUUGUCCAUGGGGCAAGAAACAUGAGGAUGAAAAGCCAAUAUGUUAAGGACAUGAAGUGAAAAGCGGGAAGAGCUUCUUAUUCAUGUUAUCACUGAGCAGUUCUGCCGGAGGCCUCUCCAGAUUGUGAUGCACUGGGAGCAAGCCACCAUGAACAUAUCCUCAGGUCUCCAGUCUUCUGCCAUCGCAUGAAAAAUGGAGCUUGUCAAACACAGAGCAGAGCUGAACUUUCUGAAUUCCACAGGACAGUUCAGAGUGCUUGGAAUGACACCCACCUGCAAUUUAAACAAAAAAGAAGGAUGAUUUGCUGCUACAUUUGUGUGGGAAGUGCUGCUUGCCGAUAGGGAAGUAGGAGAGGAAAUAAGGAAAACAAUAAACCAAGUACAGUUUUGCAAAUACCCAGACACAUUGGAUGGACACAGAAGCUUUCACUGGGAGAUUAUGAAGGGUAGAUGCUUUGUGUCUCCAUUGCCUCCUGUGAUGUGACCUCACAUUACAAGCCACUGUGGUUGGAACUGCUGGCAAAAUGGAAAGAACCAGGAAGAACAUCAAAGGAGAGUUUUAAAAGGAUAUGAAAUGUAUUAAUUUGUCGUAAUUAUCUACUUUUGAUAGAAGAAUCUCAGAGGUACUUAAGUUGAUGUCUUGGACCUUCAGUCCAGUGCUGACAUCUUGUAAAAUGUCUUAAGUUCCUACCAGGUAAUUUCUGCUUUCUGUCACAAAGCAGGAGAGAAGUUCCAGGAGGAAGUCAUGUAUUUUUCUCAUCUUUAGGUAUAUUAUAUGUAUACCCCAUAUUUCCCUAUAUUAUACUUACACAUAUAUUUAUGUUACACUUUCUAUUUCUCUUAUUUACGUACAUUAUUAACAAAAAAUUUUUGGAAGAUUGUAGAAAUAAGACAUGUAGGCAUUUGAAAUUUUGUGAGAAAGAGCAUGUCAGAUUUGGGAGUUAGGGAUUUUUAGACAUUGCCAUAAGAGGUAAGUAAAUGCUGACACCUUGCCUAUAGUUAAUAAAAAUAUAUUAUACAUUUGAAGUUUUCUAAGAGAGUAGAUUUAAAAUUUUCUCACUAUACACACACACAAUAUAUAUAUAACUAUGUUAGGUGAUUAACGUUAAUUAGCUUGAUUAUGGUAAUCAUUUCACAACAUAGACAUAUAUCAAAACAUCACAUUGUAUGCUUUGAAUACAUACCAUUUUUAUUUGUCAACCAUUCCCCAAUAAAGCUGGAAAAAACAAGACUUCAUUCCUGUCAAAUCUACUUCUCAGGGACCUACUCCAAGGGAGUCGCCAUUCCUUCAUUUUAUUAUUAAAUUGCUUCUUCAUAGAAAACCUAUCUUCGGUGAAAAAAUUAGACUCCAGAAAUGAUAUUUUGCCAGAAACAUCUCUAAAAGCCUUUUUAUCUCCCUGAUGAACUCAAUGUAGCUAUGGAAAUUUGAAUUCCCUAUCUGGGGUCAGCUUCAGAAAUGUGUUUAUUUAUGUGCUUCGAAUUGACUUAUCAACUAAUGAACCAAGAAACAAUUUUUCUUUUGGCUGUGUUUUAAAAGGGUCUUGCUCAAAUUUUAAAGGUUGGGGCAUUUUAGAGUCAGAUUUGUUUCAUAAUUUUUCUAUGUAACAUAUUCACUUCCCAUUAAAAUGUAAUUUUCCCUACCAAUAAGGUGUUAGGCUUCUGAUCCCUCAGGGGAACUGUGGUUGACAUGAGCAUUACCUCAUCCAAAUGUAUGUUCCCAGUGAACCUGUCAUCGAGUGGACUUGAUGCCUUCAUUUUUUCCUUUUGUAGCAAGAUGCCUAACUGGUUACUUAUGCAAGCAUUGUUAUUGAAAUUAGGGGGAGUAAGGGGAAUAAAAAAUGUAUGGAAAUUAUGAGUGUUAGAACUGAGCACAAUCAUUGCAGCAUCUGAUGCAGACAUUUCAGGGUAAGCGAAGUAGUCUCUUCAGAAUAAAAAUGAGGGUAAUUAGACUCAAUUCAUUUAUUCAACACUUGGGUCAAGUCCAUGAACUCUACAAAGAUAACUGUGCCAUGGAUUUUGCUCUCUAGAGUGGUAAGACACGUAUAUGGUUUGUCUACUCAUUCAGCAAACACUUUCUGGGCAUGUUUUGUCUCCUGAGGUCAGCUCUGGAGAUACAAUGGUACAUGGCACAAAUCUUUGCAAGUGCUAAAUAUAAUACCUGAUAUUAAUAGGCUGUGAGUGAAGAGCACAAAAUGUGUAGUGGGUGUUCCUGGGAUACAGUAGCUCUGUGCAUGUAGAAGGGAUUAGUAAGGGCCUCGUGAAGGAGACAGCAUUUGUUCUGGGACUUGAAGGAAAGACAGGAUUGGAAAUGUAGAGAUGCUAAGGAAGGUUGUCCUCAAUAGAGAAAAUGCCAUAGCUGAAGGCCCCUCAUAUGCUAUUCUUAUCUAACUAUGUGAUUCUAAGCUCAGGUGAUCCAAAGAGGCUCCUCAGAGUUGUGGCAAACUGAAGCCAGUGGUGUAGGUUGAAAGGAAUCUGAGAGAAGAUCAACACCCAGGAGAAUCUAAGGUCCCAUUGUGGGUGAAUCAUUUUGGGCCAUGUUUCAGAACAAAAUUUCCACAGACUCACUACCAAAUACUCAUGGACUUAUAUUUUUGGUUCAGAGGUUUGAUGAAAAACUCUGGAAGCCUAUUGCAGAGAACUGAAUAAGGUAAAAAUCUACCUUUUACUGGACACAUCGUUUAGGAAGCAAAUUAGUCUCCGUUAUCAGAAAGUUCCAAGGGGGAAUCUAAAAUGUGAUACUUUGCUCAGCAGCUGACAGUAUUUUUGCUACAUUUUCAACUUGCCUUCAAUUCUGUUUAUUUCGCUUGUCUAAUUUACUAUCUAGGUAAUUUAAACAAUGAGAAUACAGUGACCCGCAAUUUUCCUAAUUUAAAGGUAUCUCUUCUGCAAUAUUAAAUUUGCAUCUACAUUGCCUGCCUAACAAGACUGUCACCUCCUUGAGGUCAAUGUGAUGUUAUCUAAUUUUUUAGAUAACAUCUAUGUCUCUAAUAGAUCUAUCUGUGCAAUAGAACCAUACAGUCCUUCGUAGAUAGGGGAAGCACAAAUGUUGGUUAAUAUUUAACAGAGUAUCAGACCUGCAUCCUUCUCUCUAAGAGCUCAAACUUCAGAGAGUAGAUUCAGAGAGUAAAUGUUUUCCCAGGCUCAGGCAAGAGGGGUGGUUUGUAUGUUAUUUCUUUCUUAUUUUCCAGUUAGACUUUUGGAAAUCUGCCAGAUGCAAUUGAAAAACCCUGCUCAGCUUUGUCCAAUGUCUCAUUUGAGGAUCAGCAUGAGUUUGUUUACUUGAGAUUAACAGGAGUCAAGGAUAUACAAAUUCAGCAAUGUAUGGAUAACUUUCCCCUUUUUAACGCUGGCCUCACCACAAAACUACCACCAUAUUGUUGAAUUUUGGAAGUUUAUUAUGCUUUAUUUUUUCCUAUAAAAAAAUAAAUGUCAUCACAUUGUAAUAGUUUUAUAACCUGUUUUAUCAUAUUUUAAAAUACAUCUUGAAUAUUCUUUCAUAUAAUUAAUCUUCUACAGCAUAAUUUUAAUAUCUAUGAAGAUUCCAUUAUGUGCUUGUAUUAUACAUUUUUACUCUGAAUACAUUAUUGUUGUAAACAAUGCUUACAAUUAUGAAAAUAAAUAUAUAUGGCUCAUUUACACAUUAUUCUAAAUCUCAUUGUACUCUCCGGUUAGUCAUCAUUAAUGUCUUGAAGUUCACUGGUUUGGCAUUUUAUGUAUAUUUAUAUCUGU